UACGUAGGGACCAAGCGUUGUUCGGAUUUACUGGGCGUAAAGGGCGCGUAGGCGGCGUGACAAGUCACUUGUGAAAUCUCCGGGCUUAACCCGGAACGGCCAAGUGAUACUGUCGUGCUAGAGUGCAGAAGGGGCAAUCGGAAUUCUUGGUGUAGCGGUGAAAUGCGUAGAUAUCAAGAGGAACACCUGAGGUGAAGACGGGUUGCUGGGCUGACACUGACGCUGAGGCGCGAAAGCUAGGGGAGCAAACGGG
rnacentral:rRNA from 1 species